rnacentral:tmRNA from 1 species
GGGGCCGACUGGUUUUGACAGCGGGACCAAUUGAAAUGUAAGCAUAUCGAGCGUUGAACCACAGCUCGUUAAUCUCAUGAUUCACACUUUUUAAACGGCGAGAAUAACUACGCCCUAGCUGCAUAAUCUGAAUUAUAGUAGGAUAAUGCCUCGGUCUACAAGGUAGACAAGCAGGAACGCUCUCGAAAGCCUUGGUUUACGGCAUUCGAUAUAGAGCGUUCGUAAAAGUAAACCUAGCCGCUUUAGGGCUUUGAUAAGGCGGCGAAACUCAAAUUGAAGCUAAGCCUGUUCUUGGUAGUCUUUGACCGGGGCCAGGCCGACAAUCAAUUAAAGACUAAAUAUGUAGAAAGCAUUUGAAUUGCCUGUUUGGACGAGGGUUCGAAUCCCUCCGGCUCCACUU